rnacentral:rRNA from 1 species
CUACGGGUCGCUGCAGUGGGGAAUAUUGGACAAUGGGGGAAACCCUGAUCCAGCAAUGCCGCGUGUGUGAAGAAGGCCUGCGGGUUGUAAAGCACUUUCGGUUGGGAGGACUGCUUCUAGCACUAAUAUUGUUGGAAGUUGACGUUACCUUCAGAAGAAGCACCGGCUAACUCCGUGCCAGCAGCCGCGGUAAUACGGAGGGGGCAAGCGUUAAUCGGAAUUACUGGGCGUAAAGCGCGCGUAGGCGGCUAGAUCAGUCGGGUGUGAAAGCCCCGGGCUUAACCUGGGAACUGCAUCCGAUACUGGCAAGCUUGAGUACAGGAGAGGAGAGUGGAAUUCCACAUGUAGCGGUGAAAUGCGUAGAUAUGUGGAGGAACACCAAUGGCGAAGGCAGCUCUCUGGCCUGAUACUGACGCUGAGGUGCGAAAGCGUGGGGAGCAAACAGGAUUAGAUACCCCCGUAGUC